GAUGAACGCUGGCGGCGUGCCUAAUACAUGCAAGUCGAGCGAACAGACGAGGAGCUUGCUCCUCUGACGUUAGCGGCGGACGGGUGAGUAACACGUGGAUAACCUACCUAUAAGACUGGGAUAACUUCGGGAAACCGGAGCUAAUACCGGAUAAUAUAUUGAACCGCAUGGUUCAAUAGUGAAAGACGGUUUUGCUGUCACUUAUAGAUGGAUCCGCGCCGCAUUAGCUAGUUGGUAAGGUAACGGCUUACCAAGGCAACGAUGCGUAGCCGACCUGAGAGGGUGAUCGGCCACACUGGAACUGGGACACGGUCCAGACUCCUACGGGAGGCCGCAGUAGGGAAUCUUCCGCAAUGGGCGAAAGCUUGACGGAGCAACGCCGCGUGAGUGAUGAAGGUCUUCGGAUCGUAAAACUCUGUUAUUAGGGAAGAACAAAUGUGUAAGUAACUAUGCACGUCUUGACGGUACCUUAUCAGAAAGCCACGGCUAACUACGUG
rnacentral:rRNA from 1 species